CGGGUGAGUAACGCGUGGGUAACCUGCUCAUACAGGGGGAUAACAGUUAGAAAUGACUGCUAAUACCGCAUAAGCGCACAGGGUCGCAUGACCUGGUGUGAAAAACUCCGGUGGUAUGAGAUGGACCCGCGUCUGAUUAGCUAGUUGGUGAGGUAACGGCCCACCAAGGCGACGAUCAGUAGCCGACCUGAGAGGGUGAUCGGCCACAUUGGGACUGAGACACGGCCCAA
rnacentral:rRNA from 1 species